rnacentral:sRNA from 1 species
GCGAACCGGGAAGAGCCCAGC